GAUAAACAAGGGACUCGUGAACAACUACCGCAAAACAAAAGCAAUCGUGGAUCAUCCAGGAAACAACACACAGUGUUCAGAUUCAAGGGAAAAAACAAAACAAUUAGAGAUAAUGGACGUUGGGAAAACAAAUGUGUCUCGCGAAAGCAUCACACACACAGUGGCAGGACCACAACCCAUAUGCAACCCAUAACAUCUUAUAUAUUAACAAUCGAUAUAUUAAAUUGUUUUAUGUAUAUUGAAAAUACACUAAUUAGUAUAUUGUUGAUUCCUUAAUACAUUGUAAUGUAUGUUGUCAAUAACAUUCAUUGCGAUAUAUUGAUUAACAUGUGAUAAAAUGAUACUCUGUUUAUGUGCGCACACAUAAUGUUGCCAUGAAUUUAACCAGACAUCUGAUCGUCUAAAAGUCCAAAACUUUUAUUGAUCUUUUCAGUAGUUUUCUUUUAUACGUCACAAAUAUUUUCAUAUAUGAAAUGUGUAACUAUGCAAACAAAGUGAGAGAAGUUUGUGUUCCGCUAUAUGUGAGUUUAAGCAUUAACUUUUGAAAUCGAAAUUGAGUGUUUUAAUAAAGCUAUUACUUGUAAAAUUGUGGUGCAGUAUAUAUUGCAGUAUGUAGAAAAAUAUAAGAUAACAAUAACAAUAUAUAUAAAUAUAUUAUUUAAUAUAAUCGCAUUAUAUUUUCUAAUACAGUGGUUCUCAAACCUGUCCUGGAGGACCCACUGCCCUGCACAUUUGCAUCUCUCCCUAAUCAGACACCCAAUUUAGUUCUCGUAGUCUCUACUAACGAACUGAUGAGUGGAAUCAGGUGUGUUAGACAGUCCCUCCAGGAUUUUGCAAUAGCUGAAUUUAUUGCAAAAUCAAGCAAACUCCGCAAUUUUUGCAAAAGUUAACAAAUUUUCAUAAUUGCUGCAAAUUUUCUGCAGAAUUUGGGCUUAGACGCGUCCCGUGACAGCAUUGCAAUGCACAUUCAGUCAAAGAAAGGUUGUUUUUCAGUUCCAAAAAUGGAAUGAACAGCCUUGUGUUCUCAUCAUGACCAAUGUACAAGAGCUACACUGAAUAAACAAACCAAAAGCGUGCAGACCGUUUAUCUGCUCAAACCGGAGCCUUUGGCUGAUCUCGAUCAUGCGACCCUGAAGUACACAGCGCUGGGAGAUACAGUGUGAAGAAAGCAGUCGAAUUCGCCACAGAAUCAACAUCUCUGUUAAAUCUUGUGAGAAGCAUUUAAAUUCAGCGCAGAAUUCUGUUAAACCUACACAGAUAUCAGAACAAACGCCACUGAUGUGGAAACCAGGAAAAACAUUGUUCAAUAAACACAGAUCACCACCGUUCACCAUUGAUUUAACAUACAGUAGGUGGACAACCAGAAUGGGUAAUACGGCCAUGUGUAGCAUCCGCAGCGUGUAAAAAUCAUUUGCAAAACUACCGCCAGGUGGUGCAAAGGGACGGACUGCAGACUGACUGUAAUUGUAAAAUGUUGGUUUGUAAACUGAAUUGAAAGGACGAAG